rnacentral:rRNA from 1 species
UACGUAGAGUGCAAGCGUUGUCCGGAAUUAUUGGGCGUAAAGAGCUCGUAGGCGGUUUGUCGCGUCGACUGUGAAAACCUACAGCUUAACUGUGGGCUUGCAGUCGAUACGGGCAGACUUGAGUUCGGUAGGGGAGACUGGAAUUCCUGGUGUAGCGGUGAAAUGCGCAGAUAUCGGGAAGAACACCCGUGGCGAAGGCGGCUCUCUGGGACGGUACUGACGCUGAGACGCGAAAGCGUGGGGAGCGAACAGG